GCAACGUGUAUAAUUUAUGACAAAAGUCAACGGGAAACAAACAAAGGGAACCGAGGCAUAAACAGGUAAUUCCAAUCAGGACUCAGUACACCGAGGGUGUAGCCUAAAACACAGCGGCAGCAAACUCAACCCAGUAGCACCAGCUUUCGCUUGUGUGUGAGUUCCUGUCCCUACAGCCAGGAGCCCAAUACAUGCCCCUUCUUGCUCAGUGUUUUAAUGAGACUGCUCAGCACACCAAGUGUGUACAUCUACAUAAUUUGGAAAGUGGCGCUGAGGAGAGAUAAGAGUAUAUAGCCCGUGACACGUGCAGGCCCUGGAGUGGAGCAGCUACUCUCCGUUCAGCAAGUAUUCUUGGCCACGAGACAUGGACCAGUGCUGGAGACUUACCAUGAGAGCACACAGAGUCCUCAUUCUGUGCCAGUUUCCAUUGCAGUCUGGAACGACAGAGAGCAAGCAGAUGAAUAUGUGUUUGACACACAUCUGAAGGAUUGUAGCUGACCUUGGGCAACCAAAACUUCAAGGAGUGGAAUAAUCGAGAAGGUGAUGGGACUUUCCUGUGUUCAAAAUAGAUUGUGAAGUCUUUGGAGGGUUUUGACUUAAGGAUGCCGCUGCCACAGCUUUAUUUGAAAAAGAAUCAUCCUGUGUUUGCCACUCUAGAGGCAGUGGGACCUGGGAGACUGGAGCCGACUAAACUCUUGUGCAGUAGCCAACUUUAUUCAGAGCAUCAGACAAUUUAUACUCUGACGGUUAAGAAGAGUCGCAUGAAUGAAGUGUACAGCCACCAGCUGCAUGUGGCAAGAACACGGUUUCUUCAUGGAGGAAUAUCAACAAAUAACAAUAGCCGACUGUAAUGAAUAAUCGAAAGUAAACUCACUCCUAUCGUCUACACCUGAGAGGAGCAUGAAGGCACAUCCCAUGAGCAAUUUCAUGCUUGUGAAGACACGGAGACCGCACACCUCUUGUCUUGGUUCCUUCCUUCCUUCCUUCCUUCCUUCCUUCCUUCCUUCCUUCCUUCCUUCCUUCCUUCCUCCCUCCCUCCCUCCCUCCCUCCCUCCCUCCCGGAACUCACUGUACCCAGCAAGUGAAAGCUUUCUCUCUUCUUAGCAGUGACCCUCCCUUUUCUCAGCCGUAGGUAACCCUGGCUCUGCUUUCCGUCUGUCUGUACUUGCCUGUUCUUGAUAAGGAAUUAAAGGAGAGUCGUACAGUAUUUGUUGCUUUGUACCUGACUCAUGUCAUGCAAUACAUUUUCAAGGCC
rnacentral:lncRNA from 1 species